UGUGGUGGCGAUAGCGAGAAGGAUACACCUGUAACCAUGCCGAACACAGAAGUUAAGCUUCUUAGCGCCGAUUGUAGUGAG
rnacentral:rRNA from 1 species